UACGUAGGGGGCAAGCGUUGUCCGGAUUUAUUGGGCGUAAAGAGCGUGUAGGCGGCCAGGUAGGUCGGUUGUGAAAACUGGAGGCUCAACCUCCAGACGUCGACCGAAACCACUUGGCUAGAGUCCGGAAGAGGAGAGUGGAAUUCCUGGUGUAGCGGUGAAAUGCGCAGAUAUCAGGAAGAACACCCGUGGCGAAGGCGGCUCUCUGGGACGGUACUGACGCUGAGACGCGAAAGCGUGGGGAGCGAACAGG
rnacentral:rRNA from 1 species